rnacentral:rRNA from 1 species
CGCUGGCGGCGUGCUUAACACAUGCAAGUCGAACGAUGAAGCCCAGCUUGCUGGGUGGAUUAGUGGCGAACGGGUGAGUAACACGUGAGUAACCUGCCCUUAACUCUGGGAUAAGCCUGGGAAACUGGGUCUAAUACCGGAUAGGAGCGUCCACCGCAUGGUGGGUGUUGGAAAGAUUUAUCGGUUUUGGAUGGACUCGCGGCCUAUCAGCUUGUUGGUGAGGUAAUGGCUCACCAAGGCGACGACGGGUAGCCGGCCUGAGAGGGUGACCGGCCACACUGGGACUGAGACACGGCCCAGACUCCUACGGGAGGCAGCAGUGGGGAAUAUUGCACAAUGGGCGCAAGCCUGAUGCAGCGACGCCGCGUGAGGGAUGACGGCCUUCGGGUUGUAAACCUCUUUCAGUAGGGAAGAAGCGAAAGUGACGGUACCUGCAGAAGAAGCACCGGCUAACUACGUGCCAGCAGCCGCGGUAAUACGUAGGGUGCGAGCGUUAUCCGGAAUUAUUGGGCGUAAAGAGCUCGUAGGCGGUUUGUCGCGUCUGUCGUGAAAGUCCGGGGCUUAACCCCGGAUCUGCGGUGGGUACGGGCAGACUAGAGUGCAGUAGGGGAGACUGGAAUUCCUGGUGUAGCGGUGGAAUGCGCAGAUAUCAGGAGGAACACCGAUGGCGAAGGCAGGUCUCUGGGCUGUAACUGACGCUGAGGAGCGAAAGCAUGGGGAGCGAACAGGAUUAGAUACCCUGGUAGUCCAUGCCGUAAACGUUGGGCACUAGGUGUGGGGACCAUUCCACGGUUCCGCGCCGCAGCUAACGCAUUAAGUGCCCCG